CAUGUAGGAGCAAUCAUGUUUGUUUUCAAGAACAAGUUGGUGAGUACUAGCAAUUAUAUAUAUGGUUCUACUGCUUUUCUGUCUUGACAAUUAAUUUAUUUGGUAAUAAGAAGAUUAUAAGGGCAAAUUCUGGGCACAUUAAUGUUUGUAGGAUUUAACUUUUUUUUUUUUUUUUGGGUAUAUUAUAACAUUGAAGGAUAACUUUAGGUGUUGCUUUAGGGUCUGCAACUCAAAUUGCAAUGUUUGUGGUUGGAUUAUGCGUGGUUGUAGCUUGGAUUAUGGGAAUUAAGAUGGAUCUUGAUUUCAAUAUUCUUGAGACAUGCUCUCUUGCUCUAUCAAUAAUUGCUACGGCGGCCUUCACUUUACAGGUAAGAAUAUUAGCCUAAAUAACAAUUAUAA